CGGCGCGAGGGCCGGCCGCCGGCCGCCGUAACGUAACAUGGCGGCGCCCGUGGCCGGCUCUCGAGGGCCGCGGAAGAUGACGUCAUCAGAGGAGUGGGCUGGCUCGGCCGACCUACUCCCCCUUCGGCCCUGAAGCGGACAGAACCCCGACGCGCCGGCUGGCUAGGGCUACCCACCAACGGACGGGCGCCGGGGGGCGGCCAGGACGUCGGGGUCCCGCGCCGCUGGGAGCGAGGUUGUCGAGGUCAGAAAGACAUUUAGGGAAAUAUUUGCCAAAUAGAGUCGGGUGGGGUCCAGCUCUCGUCCGUUCCCUAGACAGCCCGCGUGCGCUGACCACCUGCCACGUGCCUGGCACUGUUCCAGUUGCUGGGGACACAGUGUGCCUUAUCCCAAGAAAGGACUGAGUGAUGAUGCCCGCGGCUGCUCCACGUCCUCGGUCUCAGCUGCAGGCGGCCUUCUCCAGGCCGGCUUCCUUGCCUGCGCCCAGUGAUCUGUGUCAUAGCGCCCAGAAUCGGGCCAGCGCCUAGAGUCAGGCUAGUACCUCUCGUGGAUGAGGACAGCACACUUGGAGGUGCUCCCAAGCUUGGUGGCAGACCGAGAGGGGUGGGGACUGGUGUACCAGGCGUGGCCAGGGCCCUUUUCCGAGGAGGGCACGCUGCCCCUCAAGUUAAAAGAAGUCCAUGCAGUGAGCAGGAGGAAGGGUGCCCCAGACAGGGAGCAGCGCAGUGGUGCAGGAGGGGUCACCCAGCCCCGGCCUCCUGCCUCCUCACGUCCCAGCCGGUAUGUCUCUUCCUCUGUCCCUUUCCCGCUCACCGCUUGGACCCGGACCUCAUCAUCUCCGGAAAGAGUGCCUGUGCAUGAACCCCCCUUCAGAUCCCCCUCUGCCAAAGGACACCAGGCAGUGUUAAGGAGGGCUGCUAAAAGUUCUCUAGGCGGACUGUGCUGGUUCACCUCCCACAGUUGACACAGGCUUGCGAGUGUCAAUUGCUAAAUUUUCAGGAAUUUUAUAAGCUUGUCAUUAAACACUGCCAUUGUUAAAAAUGUAACUUCAGGGCUUCCCUGGUGGCGCAGUGGUUGAGAAUCCGCCUGCCAGUGCAGGGGACACGGGUUCAAGCCCUGGUCCGGGAAGAUCCCACAUGCCGCGGAGCAACUAAGCCCGUGCGCCACAACUACUGAGCCUGCGCUCUAGAGCCCGUGAGCCACAACUACUGGGACCGUGCGCCACAACUACUGAAGCCUGCAUGCUUAGAGCCCGUGCUCCACAACAAGAGAAGCCACCGCAAUGAGAAGCCCACACACCGCAACGAAGAGUAGCCCCCGCUCGCCACAACUAGAGAAAGCCCGCGUGCAGCAACAAAGACCCAAUGCAGCCAAAAAUAAAUAGAUAAAAUAAAAUUUAAAAAAAAUGUAACUUCA